rnacentral:rRNA from 1 species
UACGUAGGUGGCAAGCGUUGUCCGGAUUUAUUGGGCGUAAAGGGAGCGCAGGCGGUGACUUAAGUCUGAUGUGAAAGCCCACGGCUCAACCGUGGAAGGUCAUUGGAAACUGGGUCACUUGAAUAUAGAAGAGGAAAGUGGAAUUCCAUGUGUAGCGGUGAAAUGCGUAGAUAUAUGGAGGAACACCAGUGGCGAAGGCGGCUUACUGGGCUUCAACUGACGCUUAAGCGCGAAAGCUAGGGUAGCGAACGGGAUUAGAUACCCCGGUAGUCA